rnacentral:rRNA from 1 species
UACGAAGGGGGCUAGCGUGGCUCGGAAUCACUGGGCGUAAAGCGCACGUAGGCGGACUCUUAAGUCAGGGGUGAAAUCCUGGAGCUCAACUCCAGAACUGCCUUUGAUACUGGGAGUCUUGAGUUCGGGAGAGGUGAGUGGAACUGCGAGUGUAGAGGUGAAAUUCGUAGAUAUUCGCAAGAACACCAGUGGCGAAGGCGGCUCACUGGCCCGAUACUGACGCUGAGGUGCGAAAGCGUGGGGAGCAAACAGG